rnacentral:rRNA from 1 species
CAUUCUAGUGAGUAGGAUGCCACGACAAUUGUAGAACACACAGUGUUUAACAAGUAACCAAUGAGAAUUUCUGAUCUAUCAAUCAGUUGGUAGUAUCGAGGACUACCAAGAUUAUAACGGAUAACGAGGAAUUGGGGUUCGACAUCGGAGAGGGAGCUUUACAGAUGGCUACCACUUCUAAGGAAGGCAGCAGGCGCGUAAAUUACCCACUUUCGAAUUGAAGAGGUAGUGACGACACAUAACUCUAGAGUUGAGUAAAAUCAAUUCUUGAAGGAAUGAGUAGGAGGUAAAUUCUCCUACGAAAUCAAUUGGAGGGCAAGUCUGGUGCCAGCAGCCGCGGUAAUUCCAGCUCCAAUAGUGUAUAUUAAAGUUGCUGUGAUUAAAACGCUCGUAGUUGAAUUAAAAUGUGAUUUUAUACAUUUUGAAGACUUUACAUUAAGUGAAGUUUCUAGAAAUGUUAAAUUAAAAUCAAAGAAGGAGACAAUUCAAGUAAUUGAGUUGUCAUUACUUUGAAUAAAAUAAGGUGUUUAAAGCAAAACAUUAUGUUAAUGAAUAUUCAAGCAUGGGACAAUGCUGAGGAGAUGUCAAUUAGACAUUUCGAGAGAAGGAUUAAAAGGAACAAUUGGGGUGAUUCAGAAAAUAACGGGAGAGGUGAAAAUCCAUGAUCGCUAUAAGAUGCACGAGAGCGAAAGCAUUUCACUCAACUGGGUCCAUUAAUCAAGAACGAAAGUUAGGGGAUCGAAGACGAUCAGAUACCGUCGUAGUCCUAACUAUAAACGAUGUCAACCAAGGAUUGGAUGAAAUUCAGAUGUACAAAAGAUGAAGAAACAUUUGUUUCUAAAU